GGGGGCGGUCGCAGGUUGCACAAUUCGCCCGGCGCAGCCAGGAGAUUCCUGAGCGGCGAAGUCAGAGCGGCCCGGCCUGCCCCGACACCGGGCACCGGGCCCUCAGCAGCCGGCGGCGACCGGUUGCCAGCCGGGCAGGGCCCCCUCGCAGGGGACACCCGGGAUCCAGAGCCCCGGAGACGGGAAAGGGCUGGAAGAAGUGUGGAAACCCUGGAGGGUUGAGGGGUGCCUAAUCCCCUGGAGUUUUUCUUCCAGAGUCCUUAAAAAUAUCCUGGAUUUCUGACA